GACGAACGCUGGCGGCGUGCUUAACACAUGCAAGUCGAACGAAGAGCGAUGGAAGCUUGCUUCUAUCACUCUUAGUGGCGAACGGGUGAGUAACGCGUAAUCAACCUGCCCUUCAGAGGGGGACAACAGUUGGAAACGACUGCUAAUACCGCAUACGAUCUAAUCUCGGCAUCGAGGAUAGAUGAAAGGUGGCCUCUACAUGUAAGCUAUCACUGAAGGAGGGGACUGCGUCUGAUUAGCUAGUUGGAGGGGUAACGGCCCACCAAGGCGAUGAUCAGUAGCCGGUCUGAGAGGAUGAACGGCCACAUUGGGACUGAGACACGGCCCAGACUCCUACGGGAGGCAGCAGUGGGGAAUCUUCCGCAAUGGACGAAAGUCUGACGGAGCAACGCCGCGUGAGUGAUGACGGCCUUCGGGUUGUAAAGCUCUGUUAAUCGGGACGAAAGGCCUUCUUGCGAAUAGUGAGAAGGAUUGACGGUACCGGAAGAGAAAGCCACGGCUAACUACGUG
rnacentral:rRNA from 1 species